rnacentral:misc_RNA from 1 species
AAGUCGUAACAAGGUUUCCGUAGGUGAACCUGCGGAAGGAUCAUUAACACAAUUUUGAUUCACAAAUCUCUUUGCUUCGUUGUCUUUUUUUCUAGAUGCGAGAAAUUGUAGCUAGAGAAGAGCAACAAGCAAUUAACCCCCUUUCUAUGACGAAAAAUCUUUACAAAAGAAUGGAAGAAAAAGGAAUGUGUUUCGUCACAAUCCGUUUCAACCGUUUUUUUCCUUUACCCAAUUUUUUUUACCCCUUUUACAACCUGUAAUAGACUGAAAACAAAAAUCAUAUUCUAGAUCUCUAGAAUCUAAAACUAAGAAAACAACUCUUAGCAACGGAUAUCUAGGUUCUC